UUAAAAAAAGAAAGAAAGAAAAAAAAAGUGGAAGAUGGCUUAAGCUUUCCUCCUGCCUAGUUUCUCUCCUUCCACCCCUGCUUCAAAAGAAUUGCUUUUUUUCCUGCCUCUUCUGUUUCAUUCCUGUAACACACAUUUCUGCCUUGUGUCAGAAUUGUCUGAAGUUUUCCUAUUUUGUUCCUCAUUUGAGCAGGUAGCAGACUCCACAUCCCCGGCUUCAGGAGCAGGGUGAGAAGCAGAUGAUUCUGGCUUUUGCUUUCUAAAAGCAGCCAGAGGCCCACAGGGAGGACAGAGUUUGAGAAAAGCAGAGAACCUGACUUCAACAAUCUUUAGACCCACUGCGUGCCAGGCCCUGCUCUAGACGGACAGAGAUGCAGCAAUGAACAAGCCCAAAGACCCCUCCUCAAAGGCAUGGCAUUUUGCAGCAGCCCUUUGUCAGUUACCAGCGAAGCCCUGCCUGCAAUGACAAACAGACUGCUCACCCUCUGUUAUGCCUAUCAAGAGGAUUCUGGACUCAGCAAUAUGACCCAGUGGUUGAGAAUCUGAGAAAAUAUAAAAUUUCUCCAUCUGCUUUUCACUGAGAAGAACGCUGAUUUAAUAGAACGCCAACGACUGUUGGCCAAAUCCCAGAGGAAGCUGUGCGGUGAUUCUUGAGUGACUUUUUCAAAGUCUCUCUCAUAUUUAUAAUGAAAUUAUAAAUGAAAAUCCAGACUGCCGUAUAAUAUUUCCCAGAGAGAAAAAAGUCUGUUCCAAAGGUGCUGACAGCUAAAGAGAAAACCAGUGGGGCUCUCAACAGUAAAACGGGCUCGGAUUAAAGAGGCAGAACUGAAUCCUUGGACUGAAGUUCAGAUGGGGACCUAAGAGUUUUCUGGGUUUUCUUUGAACCUGAGCGUGGGGAAUAUGUACCAGCCAGAGGUAAAACCAAUUGAUGAUGAUGUCAGACCUGCUUCUAAGAGCGCUUUCUCCACUUCGAAACUUGCAUAUGGAAUUCCAGUGAAAAGAACAGCAUAUGCAUCAAGAGAUCUCCAAUGUGCCACUGAGGAUUUGCGGAUGGAAUUUCCACGUCCCUCCUGUUUUAAUACUUUUAAAACCAAUUACCGUGAAAUGUGGAUGCGAUCCAGUUGGGGACUUCACCUGCGGAUGUGGCGCUCUAGAAAACGAGCAAAUCAAUGGACCAUGUAUCUUAGACAACUGCUGUUUAAUCAAUUAACUGUUCAGUAUAAACUAUUUUGUUCACGGCAGCAGAAGUGACCAUCUAUAAUUACGGUGUGCCUAUUACUGAAAUAUAAAAAAUGAAAAAUC